rnacentral:tRNA from 1 species
GGGCGAGUGGCGGAAUUGGUAUACGCGCAUGGUUUAGGACCAUGUUCCUAACGGAUUGAGGGUUCAAGUCCCUCCUCGCCCA